GGAAUCCGCGGCCAGGGACCCGCGCAGGCCCCUCCUUAGCUGAGGGGCGGCCGGGUACUCGGGUCCCGACCCGCGACCACCGCACCCAUCACCACCACAGCGGGAACUGCCCGGCGGCCCCCAGAAGCCCCGGCCCGGCCGCAGAGGUGGGCCCCCGAGCACAGAGGCCCCGAAACUCGGCUCGCAGCCCUCAGCCCCAAUGUCGGGGGGCGCGGUGGCCCCGGGCGACCCCCCACCCCGCUCCUGGAGCCCACAGGUGGCCCCACAACUUCGCGGCCCGCGCUGCGCCCGCGGGGCCUAGCACGCUGCCGCGGGACCUGCCCAACGUGGAGUGUGUGCCUGCCCCCUCCCGCCCCGGCCCCCGGCGCAGCCCUUACCCAGAAGACGAAAUUGAAGACGAAGAGCAGGUCAGAACUCGGUCACAUGACCCUCAUGCAACCACACUAACCAUAGAGGUGACUGGGAAAUGCAGUCUUUCCAUUUGCCUAGGAGGAAGAAACAGUGUGGUGAACACAUGGUAUCGUCUGUUCCGCCAUCCACCCCUCUGUUGACCUGCCAAAGUCCACCCAGUCACUACACCCUCUCCAGACCCAGCAUCUCCGAUGGAUGAGCACAUCAGCACCCUCCUUCACAGAGCCUGCUUCUGUAUUAGUCAGGACAGGCCAGGCUGUAUUGUGGUAGCAGUCGGAACCCCCAAACCCAGCUGCUGCCAAGAGAGCAGGCACCGGGGGCCCGAGUGAUGGGGACUUGGUGGAGCUGGAGCAGCAAACUUGCUAAAAUCACUCCUGGUGACCUGGCAGGCUGAAUACAAGAAGGCUCAGCCAGGAGCAUAAGGGGCGAAGUGGGAAAACACCACAUUGCGAGUUUUGUGUUAGGUCCCGCAACACGAGACGGAGACCAGCUUGAGAAAGAAGGCCCAGCUUACAAGCAGAGAUGAAAGUGAACAGAGAGAUGGAUCCAGAAAUUCAGAGCACCGCAAGGGCAGAAAAACCAACUGCUCCAAGAGUUAGGAUUUUAACAAGCUUUGGGAGACAAAGGCCCAAUAAAAUGCCUGACUUGGACCGAUCAACAGAAGACAAAGAUGGGAUUAAGGCCCAUUCAAGUCUGAGAGCCUUCUGACAGCUGCCAUUGAGUUGAUGGAGAGGAAUGAGAGCAAAUACAUCCUGAAACUUCAAAAAAAAAAAAA
rnacentral:lncRNA from 1 species